CCCCCCAACAGGAGGAGGAGCCUCAGACUCCUGCAGGAAGCGGUGCAGAGCAGAGGGAUGACACAGACCAGCCAAUCAGUGUGGAGACCUGCAGAGCUCUGACCAAUGAGCUGCAGAGCUGCUUUAAGAGAGCCACACACCUGUACAGGAAGGUGAGCGGCUCCUCCACCGAUGACUCCACCCCCUUACCAGCGGCAGAUGGCUGUCCUCCUAUCAGACGCCUUCCAGGCCAUGAGGGCGGAGCUAGACUCCCUGCCGCUCGGAGAGCCGAGCAUGCUGGGAGGAGAGGGAGGUUUGGGAGGAGUGGGGGAGGUGAAGACGGCGGCUUUGCUGGAGGAGUACUCCCUGCUCCUCCUGCAGGCUGUCCACCGGAGGAUCAACACCACCUCCUCCUGAUCUAACUUCUUCAUGUCUUCCUCUCCUCCUCCUCUUCUUCAUCUCCUCCUCCUCCCUCUUCUCCUCUUCUUCACCACCACCUCCUCCUCCUUUUUUCCUCCUCCUCCUCAUCAUUUUCUCUCUUUCUUCUCUUUUCCUUCUCCUCCUCCUCUGCUCUAAAUCCACCAUCUCCUCCUCCUCCUCCUCUCUCUCUCUGUCUUGUUUUUAUCCUUCCUCCUUCUUGUCUUCACAGACGAGGGAUCUGAAGCCAUUUUGAUUUUUAUUCUGAAAACACUUUGAAUCAUUCGACUCUUUUAUAAAAGUUUUUUCAGACUUGAGGUUUCGACUCCUUUUCAUUCCUUAAAGUUCAGAUUGAGCAAAUGGCAGCUUCGGUGUCCCGUCAAUCUGAAGGAUUGUUUGGAUUGGAUUGAUUAUUGAUUAUUGUUGUAAACAUUGAUGUUAGACUGUAAAGACUUUUUAACGCAGAAAACAGCAAUAUGAGACUUCCUGUCACAGUUUGAACAGACUUUAUUUUUCAGUUGUUUGAUGUAAAUUUUCUUCCCUGGUUAACAGAGACUUCCCGUCGUCACACUACUGACUCACCUGUCCUCACCUGACACUGACAGGAAACUCUGAUGGUUUUAGUCUUCACCUGUUUCUAAUGUUGGUUUUUAUAAUUGUUCUUAGAGAAACUCUUCAGGGUUUGUUGGUUUCUAACCGGUCAACAUUCGUGUUUUUGUCUAACUUUAAUAAAAGUUUGAGACUUGU